ACGUUAGCGGCGGACGGGUGAGUAACACGUGGGUAACCUACCUAUAAGACUGGGAUAACUUCGGGAAACCGGAGCUAAUACCGGAUAAUAUUUCGAACCGCAUGGUUCGAUAGUGAAAGGUGGUUUUGCUAUCGCUUAUAGAUGGACCCGCGCCGUAUUAGCUAGUUGGUAAGGUAACGGCUUACCAAGGCGACGAUACGUAGCCGACCUGAGAGGGUGAUCGGCCACACUGGAACUGAGACACGGUCCAGACUCCUACGGGAGGCAGCAGAU
rnacentral:rRNA from 1 species